UACGUAGGGCGCAAGCGUUAUCCGGAAUUAUUGGGCGUAAAGAGCUCGUAGGCGGUUUGUCGCGUCUGCCGUGAAAGUCCGGGGCUCAACUCCGGAUCUGCGGUGGGUACGGGCAGACUAGAGUGAUGUAGGGGAGACUGGAAUUCCUGGUGUAGCGGUGAAAUGCGCAGAUAUCAGGAGGAACACCAGAGGCGAAGGCGGCCUACUGGGUCAGUACUGACGCUGAGCCGCGAAAGCCAGGGGAGCGAACGGG
rnacentral:rRNA from 1 species